rnacentral:sRNA from 2 species
UCGGGCGGAACGCCGAAUCCUGCCGCCGCCCGUACACCCACCUAGAACGCACGGCAGGAGCGGGGGAACCAGGUAAGUCGCCAGGCCGGAUGUUUCGGACAUAUCGGUACGGCUCGGGGUGAAGUCGCGCCCGUCAGGACGCGACCGGGCAACUCCCGCCCGAACCCGACAGCUCACCUCGCAGGCGCCGGAGAGGAAAUUC